AAACUCAAAAAGAGCUAAAAGCUGGUGGCUGGAAGCUGGAAGCUACGUUAGUGGCGAACGAGUUAGUAACACCUUGGAACGUACCCCCGAGAUGGGAAUAACUGGCCGAAAGGUCAGCUAAUACCCAAUGGUUCUCGUGAGAGUAAACCCGUCACCUCUGCGUACUGAAGCAACGGUAUGCUCGUGUAGGAAACAAAAUCUUAUGCGGACAUUCUUCUUGUUUGAGUGCGGAGAGGUGACGGGGCUUGGGGAGCGGCCUAGGUCCUAUCAGCUAGUUGGCGGGGUAACGGCCCACCAAGGCGAUGACGGGUAGGGGGCGUGAGAGCGCGACCCCCAACGAUGGAACUGCGAACGGUCCAUACACCUACGGGUGGCCGCAGUCGAGAAUAUUCGACAAUGGGCGAAAGCCUGAUCGAGCGACGCCGCGUGCAGGAAGAAGGCCUUCGGGUUGUAAACUGCUUUUAACUGGGAUGAAGUCCCCCACCACUUUGGGCGUAAUCGAGUAUAUGCCCAACAGUGUGUUUAGGCUACAUAGUUUGAACCACUUCCGGUUGUACCCAAAGUGGUGGGGGGUUGACGGUACCAGUUGAAUAAGAGGUUGGUAACUACGUGCCAGCACCCGCGGUAAUACGUAGACCUCAAGCGUUGUCCGGAUUUAUUGGGCGUAAAGGGUCUCCAGGCGGUUUUGUUAGUCGGGCGUUAAAUCUCACUGCCCAACGGUGAGGCCGCGUCCGAAACGGCAAAACUCGAGGGAGGGAGAGGUGAGCGGAACUCACGGUGUAGGGGUGAAAUCCGUUGAUAUCGUGGGGAACACCAGAGGCGAAGGCGGCUCACUGGCCCUUUCCUGACGCUCAUGAGACGAAAGCGUGGGGAGUGAAUGGGAUUGAAAGCUCGCAUGCUUUAAAAAUUUCCUGCUUUGCUGUGGACACUUUCACUGCGGGCGCUACGUAACACGAAUAAGAAAUAUUUUAACUCGACCACGGCUGAAAGCCGUGGGACUCGGACAGAAAAUAUUUCUUGUGUUACGCAGCGCCCUUAGUUCAGUGUUUACCACAGCGCCGCAAUGGAAAUUUUUGAAGAUGCUCGCUUGGCAUGUUCUGGAGGUAGUUUCCUUCGGAAACUUUAAAGCGAACGGUAGGGGUACCGUGAGUCUACCCGUCCGUAGCUCGGAAGAGCGAAGGCGGGCAACGGUCCCUCCGGCAAGAGUGCCGGAGAAAAACUUGUGCCAAUUUCGUUCACGCAUGGUGCGUGACUACGAAAUUGAGCAUCUCGCCGAGGCGUAAGCCAAGGCGGGAGCUAUAUGCUGGAAUAUCCGGCGUAUCCAACACUACGAAAUUAAGGAGGGCACGAUGGAAACACGGAGGAAGUUCGAGGAUCUGGCAGAAACAAUCUUCUUCUGUGGCCUGAAUCGCGAUCGCCUACAAGAGAUCGGUUUUCAGCUGAAGGAAGGGAAAACCUUCAAAGAUAUCAACGAAGCGGUGCAGAACGGGCGAAUGGAAGGAAUCGGCGAAUUCGAUCGGGAGAUCGCCUGCAUCGGUAGGAGACUUCAGGAAGUCGUGGAAAUCCGAGAAAUCGUAAAAACGUGAUUGGUGCGGACAACCAGCAGGGAAGAACUACGAAAGGAGAAAAGCGGCGAUGAAAUAUCAAGUCAUCGUGAAGCGGAUCACUCCAACCGAAGUGAGGGUCAUCGAGCACGAGCUUGAAGAAACAUACUCGGAUUCAGACGCUGCCGCAAAAGCGGCCGAAUUCCUAAAAGAAUUCGUCUUCCUGAAAGGAUUCGUCCCGCAGCGUCAUCCUUUGUAGAAGUAGUUCCCCUCAGAGACUGCACGCCGAGGCAGUGCCAGCUCAAAGCAACCAGCUCAUAGCUACCAGCUUGGGCGGGCGUGGUAAAAACCACACUCGCCCGAGCGCUUUUAUACCGGUAGCUGGAAGCCGGAAGCUGAUAGCUGCGCUAGCAUGAUACAGUCCGAACUGCAUGGCGACAUGCAGAAACGAGCAGAAAUGCCUCGUUCCGCAAUUGAAAAUUGGAAAUUGAAAAUUCCAAUUUUGUUGCGAGCAACAAAAUUGUAGAUACCCCAGUAAUCCACGCCCUAAACGAUGCGCACUCGCCGUGGGAAGUAUCGACCCUUUCCGUGGCUUAGCUAACGCGUUAAGUGCGCCGCCUGGGAAGUACGGCCGCAAGGCUAAAACUCAAAGGAAUAGACGGGAGCUCGCACAAGCGGUGGUCCAUGUGGUUCAAUUCGACGACAACCGAAGAACCUCACCAGGGCUAGAAAUCUCGUUGACGAUUCUGGGAAACCGGAAUCUUCUACAAGGACAGCGGGACAGGUGCUGCACGGUCCUCGUCAGUUCGUGGUGUGAAUUGUUCCCUUAAGUGGGGUAACGAACGCAACCCCUGCCGCCUGUUACAAGUGUCAGGCGGGACUGCCUCCGUUCAGGAGGAGGAAGGAGGGGACGACGCGAGAUCAGCGUGGCCCUCUGAUGCCCUGGGCUACACACGUGGAACAAUGCCGCCGACAAUGGGUUGCCAAGCCGCAAGGCGGAGCCAAUCCCAUCAAACGGCGGCCCAGUUCAGAUUGGGGUCUGCAACUCGACCCCAUGAAGGAGGAAUCGCUAGUAAUCGCGGAUCAGCUAUGCCGCGGUGAAUACGUUCUCGAGCUUUGUACUCGGGUGCUUUGCAGCCGAGUAUGCCAGCCGGUUAAAAUCCGGCCGCGACUUUGCAGAAGUCGCGAAAUGAAAUCGC
rfam:Candidatus Sungbacteria bacterium RIFCSPLOWO2_01_FTLL_59_16 rifcsplowo2_01_scaffold_14795, whole genome shotgun sequence.